UAUCGGUGCUGUCUGAGAUUGUCAUUUUCGGUUGUCAGUUGCGGUUGUCAGUUAGAGCGCAAAAUUCUAAUUUUUCUCUGAAAUCACAAUAAAAUGUGUAGCUUGGUUCCCUCUACCUCAACAUCGAACAAGUGGAAUCCCCUCUGCCGGCAGCUAUAAAUUACGUAACGCUCCUAUGAGAGAGAGGGGGUACCAUCUAGUGUUUUGAAUUUAAAAUAAGGAAGGGGGGAGAUAAGAUCAGCAUUACGCAACGAAAAAGAUGAGAAAAAAUAGAAAGAAUCUUUUGUGAGGCUGUUGAACAAUAAUAAUAAUAAAUUAAGAAAUUCAUAUGAGAAAUUGUUCACUCAAGUAAGAACAAACAAUCACUUUUUUUUAAUUUAUUUUGUUCUUAUUCAAUAGCUCGAUUUCCACCAAGGACACCAGAAUAGUAACUAUCUUAAAAAUAAUAACAUUUUAUCUGAGGCAAAGUUUAAGCUUGGAGUCAAGCGUGUUGGUAAAAUAUAUGGAUUUAGCGUUACCGGUUAUAAUUCACUGCUCACUAUAGAAAUAGUUCAGGAGAGUUUGGGUGAAAUCUUUGCCGUUGGAACGUUUUUGACAAUAUUCUAGGGAUAGGUGAUUAGCAAAGGGAUGGUGAAUUUAUCAGGAACAGUAUUUUUCUUACAACUUGAUGUUAAAAAUCAAUAAAAAUGUUCUUACCAAUCAUGACGAGCACGAAUCCUGAUAGAAAA